AGUGAACGCCGGCGGUAGGCCUAACACAUGCAAGUCGAACGGCAGCACAGGAGAGCUUGCUCUCUGGGUGGCGAGUGGCGGACGGGUGGGGAAUACAUCGGAAUCUACUCUGUCGUGGGGGAUAACGUAGGGAAACUUACGCUAAUACCGCAUACGACCUACGGGUGAAAGCAGGGGACCUUCGGGCCUUGCGCGAUUGAAUGAGCCGAUGUCGGAUUAGCUAGUUGGCGGGGUAAAGGCCCACCAAGGCGACGAUCCGUAGCUGGUCGGAGAGGAUGAUCAGCCUCACUGGAACUGAGACACGGUCCAGACUCCUACGGGAGGCAGCAGUGGGGAAUAUUGGACAAUGGGCGCAAGCCUGAUCCAGCCAUACCGCGUGGGUGAAGAAGGCCCUCGGGUUGUAAAGCCCUUUUGUUGGGAAAGAAAUCCAGCUGGCUAAUACCCGGUUGGGAUGACGGUACCCAAAGAAUAAGCACCGGCUAACUUCGUGCCAGCAGCCGCCGUAA
rnacentral:rRNA from 1 species